AAAGGUUAUUUAAGAAAUGUUGUCUCUGGAGAGCACUAUCGAUUUGUUAGUAUGUGGAUGGCUCGGACUUCGUAUUUUGCUGCUUUCUUCAUCAUGAUUGUAUUCAAAGAACAAAAAGAAUACCAAACAUUUUUUAAGGAUAUGACUUUGUCUGGAUUUGAA
rnacentral:lncRNA from 1 species